rnacentral:rRNA from 1 species
GAUGAACGCUGGCGGCGUGCCUAAUACAUGCAAGUCGAGCGAACAGAUGAGGAGCUUGCUCCUCUGACGUUAGCGGCGGACGGGUGAGUAACACGUGUAUAACCUACCUAUAAGACUGGGAUAACUUCGGGAAACCGGAGCUAAUACCGGAUAAUAUAUUGAACCGCAUGGUUCAAUAGUGAAAGACGGUUUUGCUGUCACUUAUAGAUGGAUCCGCGCCGCAUUAGCUAGUUGGUAAGGUAACGGCUUACCAAGGCAACGAUGCGUAGCCGACCUGAGAGGGGGAUCGGCCACACUGGAACUGAGACACGGUCCAGACUCCUACGGGAGGCAGCAGUAGGGAAUCUUACGCAAUGGGCGAAAGCAUGACGGAGCAACGCCGCGUGAGUGAUGAAGGUCUUCGGAGCGUAAAACUCGGUUAUGAGGGAAGAACAAAUGUGUAAGUAACUAUGCACGGCUUGACGGUACCUAAUCAGAAAGCCACGGCUAACUACGUG